UACGGAGGGUGCAAGCGUUAUCCGGAUUCACUGGGUUUAAAGGGUGCGUAGGUGGGCUGGUAAGUCAGUGGUGAAAUCUCCAGGCUUAACUUGGAAACUGCCAUUGAUACUAUCAGUCUUGAAUACCGUGGAGGUCAGCGGAAUAUGUCAUGUAGCGGUGAAAUGCUUAGAUAUGACAUAGAACACCAAUUGCGAAGGCAGCUGGCUACACGAAUAUUGACACUGAUGCACGAAAGAGCGUGGGGAGCAAACA
rnacentral:rRNA from 1 species